GCCGUCCUAGCUCAGUUGGUAGAGUGCACCCAUGGUAAGGGUGAGGUCGCCGGUUCAAUCCCGGCGGACGGCACCA
rnacentral:tRNA from 1 species